rnacentral:rRNA from 1 species
UACGUAGGUGGCAAGCGUUGUCCGGAAUUAUUGGGCGUAAAGCGCGCGCAGGCGGUCCUUUAAGUCUGAUGUGAAAGCCCACGGCUCAACCGUGGAGGGUCAUUGGAAACUGGGGGACUUGAGUGCAGAAGAGGAGGGUGGAAUUCCACGUGUAGCGGUGAAAUGCGUAGAGAUGUGGAGGAACACCAGUGGCGAAGGCGACUCUCUGGUCUGUAACUGACGCUGAGGCGCGAAAGCGUGGGGAGCAAACAGG